UGACAAAAAUAUGACUAUUUGCCCUGGCUGGGUGGCUCAGUUGGUCGGAGCAUUGUCCCAUACACCAAAAGGUUGUGCAUUCCAUCACUGGUCAGGGCACAUACCUACGUUGUGGGCUGAAUCCCCAGUCAGGUCUAUGUACAAGAGACAAC